UUUGGCCUCUCUACUCAGCUCACCCCUGAGAAGAAUACACGGAGCGUGUUAGCAGGGACUGCUUGGUGGAUGGCACCUGAAGUGGUGACAGGUCAACCAUAUGGCCCCAAAGUGGACAUAUGGUCUUUUGGAAUUGUGGGAAUUGAAAUGGUGGAACAAGAACCUCCUUACUGGAACCAGAGUCCUGCCUCGGCUAAAUUCAUGAUAGCCUCAAUAGGGACCCCACAGCUGCUGCAUCCCAAGCUCCUCUCGGCUUGGCUGCGUGACUUCCUGAGCUGCUGCCUGCAGACAGACGAGGAGCGGCGCUGGUCUGCCAAGGAGCUCCUGCAGCAUCCAUUUAUAACAUCUGCUGAGCCUGCAUCCAGCCUGGUGCCACUGCUUGUUGCAGUGAGGAAGAGGAAGGAGACAGGACAGCACCACUUAGUUAUCAACCACCUUAGAGCAG